rnacentral:rRNA from 1 species
UACGAAGGGUGCAAGCGUUAAUCGGAAUUACUGGGCGUAAAGCGUGCGUAGGCGGUUUGUUAAGUCUGUUGUGAAAGCCCUGGGCUCAACCUGGGAAUGGCAAUGGAAACUGGCAAGCUAGAGUCAGGUAGAGGGUGGUGGAAUUCCCGGUGUAGCGGUGAAAUGCGUAGAGAUCGGGAGGAACAUCUGUGGCGAAGGCGGCCACCUGGACCAUGACUGACGCUGAGGCACGAAAGCGUGGGGAGCAAACAGG